GUAGUAUUUUGCGUCUGUCCAUGAUUUCUCGGGGGAAUUGGUUGUUAAGUCCAUAGUCCGUGCCUUUCAGUUGUCUGCCGUGACGUUGUACCAGUUGUUUUUGUUUGAAAUGUUCGAAUUUUGCUAUUAUGGGUCGUGGGCGUUUGUUUGCUGGGUUUUUUGCUCCUAUGCGGUGUACUCGGUGGAAUUUGCCGCUCACUGUGUCCGGGGAUAUUUUGAGGCGAGUAAUCAUAAAUUCCUGUAUUAAUUGUUCUGGAUUGUCGUUAUGCGUUUGCUCUGGGGUACCGGAAAAAAUGAGGUUGUCUCUCAUGCUGCGUGAUUGUAGAUCGAGUAUGGUUUCUUUCAUGUCCUUGUUUUCUUUAGUAACAGAGGCGAACUGGGUUGUGAGGGAGGUAACGGAGUGUUGGAGGGAUUUAUUUUCUUUAGCCAGUGUAGUAAUUUGUUCUUGGCUGAAUUCCAGGCUGUCGCGUAGCUGCUGGAAUUCCUUAUGAAGUACUUCGAUAAGCACAAUCCUUGCAUCUAGUCCAGAGAGUUUAUUGUCGAUUGAAAGCAAAAUGUCACUGACCUCGGUACAGCAUGAAUUGCCCGGAGAGCUAUGAAUGGAGUCAGAUGGCCGGCAUCUCUUGGACGUUGGUGUGGAGGCAGAAUUGUCCUUCUCUCCGGCUUUUUUGGUGUCGCUCAUGGUGCAGAGUCGGUUGUAAUAUUGAUCGAUGUAGUCCUCAAGGUCUUCCAGAUCGAACGGUUGAAUUAUUCCAAUUAUUAGGCUAAUAAAAAGGGUAUAUUUCAUGGGAGAAAUUAGUUUUUGUUGUUUGCAAUCUAGCAGCUGGGGGCUGCCAUCAUGAAUCUCGCACCGGUCUUGUCAGAUCUCGCAGUCACAGACGCAUCUCCCUCCGCAGCCGCCGCCAGAGCUCUGAAAUUUAACUUUCAGUUCAGUUUCAAUUUGAAAGUUUCAAAUAAAUUAUUUUCCUUAUGAGAAAGUGUUGCAACCUCUCGCUAAGACAACCUCAUUUGCAUAAUAGCAGCAGAAUAAUCAGCACAGUGUCAUGGUUCUGGGUGGUAGUGGCUAUCCUUGGCCACUGGAGGGCAUCCUUGUCACUUCUUUCCCCUAAUUGAGCUCAUUGGGUUCACCUGCUGUAAUUCCUCUGUUUGGGCUAAUUGGGAUCACCUGCGGUAGUUCCUAUUUAAUCUCUUGCUGGCCUGCAGUCAGUGCUUUUGUGUUAACUUUGGUUACAUGUAAGCUGGUAUUCUGUGAGUGUGUUUGUAACAUUUCGGUGCUGUAACAGUCUCUCUUAUUAUUUUGAAGAGAUUUCUGAUGUACUGAAGGCUGAGAUUUAAGGGGUUAUUUGCUAUAAUUGCACAAUAAUCUCUUACUCGGCGUUGCAUUUUGGGUGUUUUUCUAUCAAUCCUCAUUUCGAGGGCUGUUUUCUUUAGUUUUCACCGUCUUUACACUCUCAGUUCUUUUUAUGAGACAGCUUUAUUAUACUCGUUUCUGUUCGGUUUUGCCCUUUUCGCUGGGUAGUUUUUUGUUAGUAUUUAACUGCAGGACUUACUGCCCAGAGGAGUAUAUUAUUCUGUUCUGUCUAGUCUGAAUAGUCCUUGUCCUUUAGUUCCUUUCACCCUUUCACGGGUAGACUAUUUAGUCCGGUAUACCUGGGAUAUUCUCCUUUAGGAGUAUUUAUUUUUCUGUUUGUUUACUUGUCCCCUUCCUCUAGUCUUUCAAGACCUUGUGGUUACUCCACCCUGUGUGGAUAGCUUUCAGAUUCCCGUUCAGUCGCGUCUGGUUCUCUGAACCCCCCCUCCCUCACAGCACACAAAAGCCAUAAUGGAUGUACCAGCGGCUCCGACGGGUCUCGAAAAAGCUGUUGCAGCCCAACACGCUGCUAUAACCGCUCACAAAAUGGGUAUCCAAGUUCUCCAUUCACCACAAGCAGCUACUCACGAACAGCAGGUGGCCAUGUAUAAUAAACAGAAGGAAAUGCUUGAGCAGUUACGCCGCCAGGAAGACAGUUUGUGUGAUCUUGCAGACAGUUUUCGCCAACUAACUAGCAUAACAGACCCCACAGUUCACCAAGCACCCCCCCUUCACACACCAUCACAGCCGUAUGCCUUAGCCAUUGUCCGUGAGCCUAAACUCCAACUUCCCCUGCGUUAUGAUGGGGAAUCGGGGAAAUACAGAGGCUUCUUGUCUCAGUGUCUGAUCUUUUUGAAAGCUCAGCCAUCGCGUUUCUCGUCUGAAGACUCCCGUGUGGCAUUUAUUCUAUCUAUGCUCACAGGUACAGCCCUUGCCUGGGCUGAUCCACUCAUAAGCCGUGUUUCCACCGCAGGAACUUUCCCCAGGAACUAGGAACCUUUUGAGGAACUCAGUGCGUUUCGACCACAGUAACCAGGGUCUAAAUUAAGUUCUGGGGACUUUAUUUUACCCCCAAAAAAGUCCCUGCUUGGGGGGGUAGUACUUUCCAAAAGUACAGGAAACUUUGUGGUGGGGCUUGCAGCGCUAAACAUUUCUGAUUGGUCGAGUACUCGCAGCAUUUUUAAAUUUUUAUUUCAACCGCCAUUUUUAAAAAUCUGCAGCCGCAAACCAGUUUGUUUUCCGAAGAAGAAAGAAGAACCAGUUUGUUUUCUGUUCAUUGUGCUUCGACACUUAUAAUGGAGUUACAGAAAUCAUACGACAGAUGGACCGACGACGAAGUACAGGCCUUAGAGUAUUUAUGGUGAAGACGAAAUCCAGCAAGAAUUGGAAACGGCGACCUGCAAUGAUAAGGUGUACAUGAAAAUCUCCCGCAAGUUAAGUGAGCUGAACGUUGUUCACACCGGGAAACAGUGCCGGGAGAAGCUUAAAAAAUUAAAACAAGAUUAUAAGAAAAUUAAGAACCACAAUAACCGAAGCGGCUCCAACCGGCGGACCAUCAAGCAGUUUGGCCGUCUGGAUGCGUUGCUGGGUCACAGGCCGGCCUUCUCUGGCGCAGCGGCAACGAAAGACUCCGCUACUGCGUUGUUGGAAGCCGCGGUGGAAGACACUGAUGGUCAUAUUUUUAUACGGUCUAUGGUUGAAGUGUUUUUCAGAUGAAAUGGGCGGGCACGCUGAACUGCAGGCUGCAGACUCUAGUGCGUUUACCCCUGCGACCACCAGCAGCCCUCGUCCCAUGUCUCCUGCUGAAGCAAACAAGUGCUGAGCUUAGGAAAGAGGAAAAGGGAUGCAGACUUCCUUGACGUGCUGAGGGACAUGGACAAGGCUAACUGGGCCGUCCUGCAGCAAGGACAGGAGCAGCGGGACCAGUAUACACAGCUGCUACUUGAGAGCCAGGCCGAGGAAAGAGAGAUGAGGAGGCAAAAGUUGGCGUUCCUCCAGUCUGAGGUGGAAGAAACCAGACGGCUCCAGAGAGAUUUUCAGGACGGGUUUCUGUAUGUUCUUGGCCAGCUUGCCCAGUCGCUGAGCCAAAGAAACAGCCACACUGCCCCACCACUGGACUAAAGACUGCCCCUCCACCCCAUUUAACACUUAAACUAUACUGUUAGAUUUUGGAGUUUUUUUAGUAAUGACUUAUUUAGUUUUCAGAGUUAUAAUCUGUUAAAGUCCCCACACCCAUCCUGUUUCCGUCUGGGUGUUGAGUACCCUUUCAAAUGCAAGCUCUACCCCGAGACUUUAGGUGCCCAGAGCCAUUGGAAAGCAACCGUGGGUGACUAGAAAUUAUAAUUUGUGAAGAGUCAUUGAUCUAGCCAGGAAAAGGAACCAGGGAAUGCAUGAAUUAGCACAUGAAUGAAACUGAUCCUCCUGGCUAGACUCCAUUGUCUGAGAUUGUACUUAAGUUGUGCCAUUUUUCAAUGAUGGGGUGUUUAGACUGAAGAAGCUUGUAAGACUAAAACAGAAGCAUUCUUUAAUACUAUAAGUAUAUACUUCUAUAUGUAAAAAGGCACAUAAUGCUUAUGCUUGUGUUACCAUAUUCUAAUAUUUACAACGCUCUGAGGAAGUAGUGGCUGUCAAUUUCACCAUUAUACACUAGUAAGCUCAGUAUUUAAAACAGGUGAGAGUGCAUAGGUUAAAAUAAGCAAAGGUCCUCAUGCUGAAUUGCAGGUGAUGUGUUUAAUAAGUUAAAACAAUAGUUAUGCAGCUGUGACAAUUUUUAUUGAUAAAAAGAAAUGGUACAUGGGUGUAACCUCUUCACAGAAGUUAUGCAGAACACAACAUGCUAUCACCAUGGAUUUGACCUUGUGUAUGUUGCAGUCAUUUCGUUUUAGCAAGCACCUCCAUCUGCCCUUCAGUCUGCCAAAAGUGUUCUCAACCACCACCCUGGCUCUGCUCGUUUUGUGGUUGUACACAAGUUGCUGGGGUGUCAGUCGUCCAUUGUCUGUGAAAGGUUUCAUCAGCCAGCUUUUCAAAGGAUAAGCUGCGCCACCAAGGACAUAGUACCCCACAUCAUGUCCACAAAUGUUCUUUGUUUCAUCAGGGAGUAUCAAACCCAUAUCCACCAGACCCCACGAUUUCCCACCACUCCUUUGCUCUAUUGUGUACCCAAACGGAUGGCGAAAUACGACGCAUUCUGUAAUACUUGCAUAUCUGAAACACACACAGGUGCCAAAAAAUAAUAAGUUGAUGUAGUCUACAAUAACAUUAUUCACAAUUGUGAUUUACUUGAUAUAUUAACUUCUUACCUUUCUUGUUCUUUGUGCACGGUGGCACGAGUCUGUCUCAGUCAUCUCUUGGUUAAUCUCCGCAAUAGCUUGUAAAAUCUGUUCACUUGUUCUAAGGUUAGCAUUUCGGGCAUUUUGAAUCCGCUUUGCUACUACCGCUCGUCUCUUUUCCAGCAUUGACUCAAUUACCCCAUUUGCAAAGCAGUAAAUAAUGAUCAACAGCAGCACGACUUGAAUCUCCCCCAUGCUUACUGUUGUUGCAGUGUCGCACUAAUAAAGAUGCCUGUCCGUCGCUUUAUAUGGCGUCAUCGUUGUAUAGUCGCGUGCAAAAAUGACGUGUAAAACAGCCGUUACUUUUUUACACGUCAGCGGACUAAUUUGCCCAAUCUUCGCGGGACUUUAGACCACGGUGGAAACGCAGAAACAGUGGGCUGAAGGAACCUUUUAGUUCCAUGAAAAGUAGUUCCUGGGACUAAAAGUUCUGGGUACUUUUAGUGGAAACGUGACUAUAUGUUCACAAGCACCUAUUAUGAAUAAUUCUGAGAGUUUAAUGAAGGAGAUGGCAUUGGUAUUUGAUCAUGACAUUACCGGCAAGGAAGCAGCUACGAGGCUAACUUGCAUUUGCCAGAGUAAUAACAGUGUAGCAGAGUUUUCUAUCACGUUCUGGGCAUUGGCUGGCGAAACAGGCUGGGCAGAGGCUCCGCUCAUGACAAUAUUCACCAAUGCACUUUCGGAUUCAGUGAGAGAUGCGCUUGCUGCUCUUGAACCGUUGGCUACGUUUGAUGCCUUGGUUACGACAGCCAUUAGAAUAGAUAAUCGAGUAAAAGAACGAGAGAGAGAGAUGAGAAAAAGAACCGUUCCACGCCAUACAUCUCCCAUUUUCUGGGUAUGCCUGCAGCCCUCGUUCUCUCACGAGGCUCUCCGAGCAAGGACGAACCCUUGCAGGUUGACAGUUCUUCCCGAAAGACACCAGUGAGACGUAAUAAAUCAGUCUUUCAUACCUUUUUACCAGUCAAAUUGUUGUGGAUUAAACAGUCAGUUAAAACCGAUGCUUUUUUGGAUUCAGGAGCGGUUGAUUGUUUUUUGAAUUCCGAUUGGGCUAAAGAGCUUAAAAUGCCUGUGCUUCUCCUCUCACGGCCUCGCCACAUUACGGCUGUUGACUAGAGCCUGACCGAUGCCAGAUUUUUUGGUCCGAUGCCGAUCCCGAUUUUGGAGAGUCCUAGCCCACCG